rnacentral:rRNA from 1 species
AACGAACGCUGGCGGCAUGCCUAACACAUGCAAGUCGAACGAGACCUUCGGGUCUAGUGGCGCACGGGUGCGUAACGCGUGGGAACCUGCCCUUAGGUUCGGAAUAACUCCCCGAAAGGGGUGCUAAUACCGGAUAAUGUCUUCGGACCAAAGAUUUAUCGCCUUUGGAUGGGCCCGCGUUGGAUUAGCUAGUUGGUAGGGUAAAAGCCUACCAAGGCGACGAUCCAUAGCUGGUCUGAGAGGAUGAUCAGCCACACUGGGACUGAGACACGGCCGAGAGUCGUACGGAUAGGAGCAGGGGGGAGUAUGAGACAAUGAGCGCAAGCCUGAUCCGGGGCUACCGCGUGGGUGAAGAAGGCCCUCGCGUUGUGAAGAACUGAUGUUGGAACAGAAAAGCAGCAGCGUAAGACCCCGCGGUUCUGAGGGUACCCAACGAAUAAGCACCGGCUCACUUCGUG